AAAGAAAUAAACACAUUAAUAAGAAUUCUCUUGUUAAGGUUGUUCAGCCCAAACAACAGAAUUGUUCAGGGAACCAACAGCAGAAUCUCUCCUCUAACCACAAGCAAACUAAUUGUUGGACCCAGCAAUCCAACAGGACUGUUGGAUCCGAAGUGACAGGAAACAAACCUUGGAACUCAUGAAUUCAAUCAAUGAAAAACUUGUUUCGAGUUUGGAUACCUUUUUCAACCAAUCAUGUUGGAGUUGGAAACCAUUCUCGACCAAUCAUGUUAGAGUUGGAAACCUUUUUCAACCAAUCAUGUUGGAGUUGGAAACCUUUUUCAACCAAUCAUGUUGGAGUUGGAAACCUUUUUCAACCAAUCAUGUUGGAGCUGGAAACCAUUCUCGACCAAUCAUGGUUCGAAUUUCGAUAACUUUCUCGACCGAUCAUGAAUCGAGUUGCAGAAACCAUUCUUGACCAAUCAUAGUUCGAGUUAGACACCUUUCUAGACAAAUCAUGAAUCGAGUUGGACAACUUUCUCGACCAACUUUGGUUGAGUUGGACAUCAUUCUCGACCAAUCAUGAAUCGAGUUUGAUAACUUUCUCGACCAACUAUGGUUGAGUUGGACAUCAUUCUCGACCAAUCAUGAAUCGAGUUUGAUAACUUUUUCGACCAACUAUGGUUGAGUUGGACAUCAUUCUAGACAAAUCAUGAAUUGAGUUUAACAACUUUCUCGACCAACUAUGGUUGAGUUGGACAUCAUUCUCGACCAAUCAUGAAUCGAGUUUGAUAACUUUUUCGACCAACUAUGGUUGAGUUGGACAUCAUUCUAGACAAAUCAUGAAUUGAGUUUAACAACUUUCUCGACUAAUUAUGUAUCGAGUUGGAUAAUUUUCUCGACUAAUCAUGAAUCGAAUUGGACAACUUUUUCGACCAAUCAUGGUUCAAUUUGGACAACUUUCUCGACCAAUCAUGGUUCAAUUUGGACAACUUUCUCGACCAAUCAUGGUUCAAUUUGGACAACUUUUUCGACCAAUCAUGGUUCAAUUUGGACAACUUUCUCGACCAAUCCGAGUAUUCUAAUGCUGUUAAUUUUAAGUAAUCUUUGUAUUUUUUUCAUUAAUAUCGUUCUAUAUUAAGCUUAAUUAAUCUCUGCGAGCACACUUCUUUUUAAAUAACAAUUUAUAAUUGUACUUGUCAAAUGUAAUAAAAGUUAAUUUUCGCUAA